rnacentral:lncRNA from 1 species
ACCGCAGGUAAGACGCGCCGAUCUGCGCCCGCGGCGGCCGGGCCUCCCCUCGCGCGCACCUGCGCGCCUCCGGGGCCGCGUGGGCGGCGGGCAGGGGGCCGAGGUGAGGGGUCCAGUGGGCCGGACAAAGGCGCGAGGGUGGGGGCUGCCGACGCACCUGGCCGGGCCGGUCCCCGCCGCCGCGGAGGCGGCCCGGGUCUGCGCCGGGCCGGGAGGGGCCGCCGAGCGCGCGUGUGCGCGGCCUGGAGAGAGGGGUCCCCACCCAGGCACCGGCUGGGCCCCGGCCGUCCGCGGCGGGCGCUGAUUCAGAGCCGGCGCCGCCCCCUCCCCCUCCGGGCCCAGCGCUCCCGCCGGCCGCCUCCCGGCCUGGCCUCAUCUCCACGGCCCCUCCCUCCACCUUCCUCCUCCUCUCUGUCUCCUCGUUUCCCUUCCCCGCCGCCGCCGCCGCCUCUCCGCCGUCCCUGCCUCCUCUCCCGGCCCGGCCCCGGCCUCGGUUCCGUCUGUCCCUUCCAGCCGCCCGCCGCCGCCGCCGCCGCUCCCAGCCCUUCCCAGCCCCUGCCCCGGGCGACUCCUCCUCCCCGCACCCCUGGGCGGGUGGCCCUUCUGGCUGGGGCGGCCGAGGGGACAAGUUUGGGGUGUUUAUUAUUCUCCCUCCUAGCAACGAUGGCCAGCCCAGCUCCGAACCGGCCGCAGGCUGCUGAGGAGCGUCCACCACUCCAGGCCCGGGCCUUUUUGGGAUGGGCUGGCAGUGGCAGGGGCGGCCUGGCUCGGCCACAGCCGCAUCACCGGGCUCUGGGGGUUUGGCCUCCCUUUGCCAGCAGAGGCUGUGGCCUUCUGUGGGUGGGGUCUCCGUUCCCAACUGCUGAUGGGGACCUAGUAGCAGGUGACGGCAGAGGGAGGGAGCUGGGCGGGGUGGGGGCUGGGAAGCACCGUGAUGGGGCGGGCAUGCCCCAGGGCUGCAGGGGCUUGGAGGUCCCCACCCCCCCGGCCUCCAGGGGCGGCCCCUCCGGCUGGACCUUGAGGAAGGGCAGGGGUCCCAGCAUGAGGGGCUCUGGCCGGCCGGGCCUUCUUCCGGGUGGAUUUCGUGUGUCUUCCCACGUGCUUGCCGAGGUGGCACGGGGUAUGGGGAUGCCAUGGAUCACACGCUCACUUGGGCCUUCACCGAUGGUGGAGACCUGGCUCUCAGGAGCCUCAGGCAGAGCUCCGGUGUGGGCGUUGCAGGGAGGAGGCCUGGGGGUGCUCCCCCAGGGUGCCAGCACCUUUCUGUCUCUUCCUGGUUAG